rnacentral:rRNA from 1 species
AUGGAAGGGCCUUUGGCAUGGGGGGAGGUCAUGGCGGCGGCAAACGCAGGUACCGACGAGGCGAAGAUGGCGAGGCUUCGCGAGAUCUGUGGGCAGUACAGGGAUGCAGAGGAGAUGCAUCAGGAAUCACGUUGGGUGUUUGAAGAGGCCACAGAGGAGGAACAAAGUUGGAUCUCAGGGAAGUCCCCGCUCGAGAUCCUCUAUUGGGCAAUGAUGGAGGCGGAAUCCAACGAUCCGGUGCAGCGCGCGCGGUGGUACCGCUACGCGUCGUAUGAUUGGGUUUCGUCCAAUCUGAUCUGGGAUGGUGUGCGGGUGGUGACCACGGCGACAAGGUCACCGCCACACUGUCCGGUGAUGCCUGUCGUGACCGACAAUGAUGUGCGGGUGGUGCCGAGGCAAAACAUGGCGCGGGUGAUUUCACGGCUGCCUCGUCACUCCCCUCGGUUCCCCCGGCGUUCUGCGCGGAUCCAGGCGCUUGCAAAGCGCGCCGCCGACGAGUAG